CGGAGCGAGCCCAACGGGUAAGAAGCCGUUAUGUGAAGGGGCAGACGGCAAGCUGAGAUCCAUGGGAAAAUUGAAGUCACGGCUGAAUUGCUGCCUUGAAAAUUGGGGGGAAGACUGACUACAGAGAGUCAUAGUGUACCAGGCUCAGAAGCUGCUGCUGGAGCCAGUAACUGGUACAACAGGAAGAACUGGAAAUUCAGAGAAAGAAGCAGCACUUCCAUCUACAAAAGCUGAGUUUACUUUUCCUCCUUCUUUGUUCUUCAAGACUGGACUCCCACCA